CCCGCAACGAGCGCAACCCUCGCUGUCUGUUGCCACCACGAGAGGUGGGGACUCAGGCGGAACUGCCGGUGACAAACCGGAGGAAGGUGGGGACGACGUCAAGUCAUCAUGGCCCUUAUGUCCUGGGCUACACACGUGCUACAAUGGCCGGUACAGAGCGCAGCGAGGCCGCGAGGCGGAGCGAAUCGCUUAAAGCCGGUCCCAGUACGGAUUGGAGUCUGCAACCCGACUCCAUGAAGUUGGAAUCGCUAGUAAUCGCGCAUCAGCAUGGCGCGGUGAAUACGUUCCCGGGCCUU
rnacentral:rRNA from 1 species